ACACAUGCAAGUCGAGGGGCAGCAUGAACUUAGCCUGCUAAGUUUGAUGGCGACCGGCGCACGGGUGAGUAACACGUAUCCAACCUGCCGAUGACUCGGGGAUAGCCUUUCGAAAGAAAGAUUAAUACCCGAUGGCAUAGUUCUUCCGCAUGGUAGAGCUAUUAAAGAAUUUCGGUCAUCGAUGGGGAUGCGUUCCAUUAGGUUGUUGGCGGGGUAACGGCCCACCAAGCCUUCGAUGGAUAGGGGUUCUGAGAGGAAGGUCCCCCACAUUGGAACUGAGACACGGUCCAAACUCCUACGGGAGGCAGCAGUGAGGAAUAUUGGUCAAUGGACGAGAGUCUGAACCAGCCAAGUAGCGUGAAGGAUGACUGCCCUAUGGGUUGUAAACUUCUUUUAUACGGGAAUAAAGUGAGGCACGUGUGCCUUUUUGUAUGUACCGUAUGAAUAAGGAUCAGCUAACUCCGUGCCAGCAGCCGCGGUAAUACGGAGGAUCCGAGCGUUAUCCGGAUUUAUUGGGUUUAAAGGGAGCGUAGGCGGACGCUUAAGUCAGUUGUGAAAGUUUGCGGCUCAACCGUAAAAUUGCAGUUGAUACUGGGUGUCUUGAGUACAGUAGAGGCAGGCGGAAUUCGUGGUGUAGCGGUGAAAUGCUUAGAUAUCACGAAGAACUCCGAUUGCGAAGGCAGCUUGCUGGACUGUAACUGACGCUGAUGCUCGAAAGUGUGGGUAUCAAACAGGAUUAGAUACCCUGGUAGUCCACACAGUAAACGAUGAAUACUCGCUGUUUGCGAUAUACAGUAAGCGGCCAAGCGAAAGCGUUAAGUAUUCCACCUGGGGAGUACGCCGGCA
rnacentral:rRNA from 1 species